GAACUUUCCAGAGAUGGAUUGGUGCCUUCGGGAACUCUGACACAGGUGCUGCAUGGCUGUCGUCAGCUCGUGUCGUGAGAUGUUGGGUUAAGUCCCGUAACGAGCGCAACCCUUGUCCUUAGUUACCAGCACGUUAUGGUGGGCACUCUAAGGAGACCGCCGGUGACAAACCGGAGGAAGGUGGGAUGACGUCAAGUCAUCAUGGCCCUUACGGCCUGGGCUACACACGUGCUACAAUGGUCGGUACAAAGGGUUGCCAAGCCGCGAGGUGGAGCUAAUCCCAUAAAACCGAUCGUAGUCCGGAUCGCAGUCUGCAACUCGACUGCGUGAAGUCGGAAUCGCUAGUAAUCGUGAAUCAGAAUGUCACGGUGAAUACGUUCCCGGGCCUU
rnacentral:rRNA from 1 species